UAAUACAUAGGGUGCAAGCGUUGUCCGGAAUUAUUGGGCGUAAAGAGCUCGUAGGUGGUUCGUCACGUCGGAUGUGAAACUCUGGGGCUUAACCCCAGACCUGCAUUCGAUACGGGCGAGCUUGAGUAUGGUAGGGGAGUCUGGAAUUCCUGGUGUAGCGGUGGAAUGCGCAGAUAUCAGGAGGAACACCAAUGGCGAAGGCAGGACUCUGGGCCAUUACUGACACUGAGGAGCGAAAGCGUGGGAGCGAACAGGAUUAGAUACCCUGGUAGUCCACGCCGUAAACGGUGGGCACUAGUUGUGGGGACCUUCCACGGUCUCUGCGACGCAGCUAACGCAUUAAGUGCCCCGCCUGGGGAGUACGAUCGCAAGAUUAAAACUCAAAGGAAUUGACGGGGACCCGCACAAGCGGUGGAUGAUGUGGAUUAAUUCGAUGCAACGCGAAAACCUUACCUACCCUUGACAUGUCACUAACGAAGUAGAGAUACAUUAGGUGCCCGUAA
rnacentral:rRNA from 1 species